UAGUAUUAUUUUAUUUUUCAGGUAGUUGCCUGAUACAUUCAAGCCUUUAAAUAGUGUGGUGGCUUAAGCUGCUUUUUUCAUUUCCUUUCUUCACUUUCUUACUCUUUUGUCUCUAGUGAAAACUUUAUUUUACAACAUUUGAAUUAUAUAAUCUCUUUUUGGUCUAAUUGCAGAAUUACUUGAUGGUGAGACAGUUCAUAGUUCAACCUCUUUAUUAAAGAAUAAUCAAUUAUCAAUUAUUAGAAAUAAUUAAUUUUGUUAGCAGUGAUAAAACUACCCAGACAAGUUAUUAUUAUGACUUUUGUAGCCAGAUGGGUAUGAUUUUGCUUUGGCUGUUCAGCAUUUUGAUCCAUUG